UAAACGUUUUAUUUCAAUAUCUUUUCCAUCUAGGCAGGUGGUACAGUUUCAUAUUUGGUCGUUUGGUCUCUACGAUGCUAGCCUGCCAUUAAAGUUAAGGUAUUUUCAGAAAAUCGAGUCGUUUAAUUCGAUUUCUGAAUGGCCGAAUCGCGACUAUGACCCUUCCGUGAAAUCGACAGGCACAAUUUACGCGUGUUCCACUUUCGUCGAACGAGACGGAUUAAUUCGCAUCGCGUUAUCGAUAUUUCGAUGAAAUUGCUCGCUCGAAAGACGUAGCUUUUUUUUAAUCGGAUCGUCACGCGGCGUUCUAGUCCAUUGGAACGAGAACGAUAUCUGAGGAGAUAUCUUGAGAAUUGGAAACAUCGUUAACCGGUAUAAAGAUAAUUAUUCAUGUACGUGCACGAGUUAGCAGGGAAAGAUGCAUUUUCCAACGAACACGUAUCUGUGUAUGGAUAAAGUAGAAUCAGAACGAGUACGUUCCGCCGUAACGUUCUAACGCGUUAAUACCCUGCUCGAGAUAAUUAGUGGAUCGCCUAAUCGAAUGACCCGAUUGCCCAAUAAGGUUGUCCUCGGCACUUUGCCAAUUUCAAUUACGUUAAUUCCUUCGCCGCGUUCCACAGUGUAGAUUGACAGUGUCGAGAAUACAAAUCAAUAAUCGAGCAAGAUGACGAAAAAGAAAGAACGUGUGGCGAACGUAACGGUAUAAUAAUUGAGGCGCGAUAUACAUACUCGGAUGAAACUUUGCUCAUAAUGAUACAAACAAGCGUACUCAAUAGCCAUCUUAUGUAAUUUAAUGCGCGAUAACCAAUUUUUGAGUUACCUAAAGCAAUUCAUUUAUUUGGAGAAUUUGCACAACCGUUGAAUAUCGUGGCUUUGACGGAGGAGAACGUGAUAAUUAUAUGUAUAAAAAAUGAUCGCUUUUCGGGUAUCCGCAAAAAUGAGUUCGAAACGCGAGAUAUUUAUUAAGGCUAGAACUAGCGAACCAUGUGAAACGGCUGGUAUCAGAUUUUUCAUUUUGAACGCGGCUACCAAAAACGUGCAAAUAUUUUUCUUAAUAUACAGGCUGUAACUGGUGGUAGAAACGGAAAGGGGGUGAUUCUAGGCGAAAAAAGAAGUCGAAAAUAUAGAAUAACAAUUUUUCGUUCGAGGCUUUGUUCUCGAGAAAAUCGACUUUGAAUUUUCGCUCGGUACGCCUGCGGCGCGUUAUAACCGAUCUCCCUGUAGAUCGUUGUCUCGAUGGAAAAAUAAAAAAAAAAAAAAUUUGUAUUCUAUAUUUUCGACUUCUUUUUUCGCCUAGAAUCACCCCCUUUCCGUUUCUACCACCAGUUACCAACCACCCUGUAUUAUCACGUAAUGUUUAUCAUUAUCAGGACGAACAUUUUUAAGAGAUCCGUCUUUUUAAUCGUACGCUUCAUCUAGCAAACCCGACGAUAUUUUGUCUGCAAUGUACUAACACGAACGUUAUUUCCCUUCAACAUCGCCGGACCUCGUCCUUAUCCCCGACAUCCUUUUAUCGCAUUCCUUCUUCCUUCCUCGCUCUCUCUCUCUCUCUCUCCGUUUUUCUGUUUCCGGUUUCACGCGGAUGUUGGAUGACCGCACGCUACGCGAUAAACGCCGACACGAUGACGAUGAUCGCUAUAACCACGACAACGUCACAACCGCCACGGCUACUUCGGACACCACGGCAGCGAUACAGGCGAAGCGCGAGCUAUUUUUCAAAGGCGACAACGCCGGAAUAAUAUCGUCGCCAUCCGUGCCAUCGGUGCCGCCUCCGCAACCUCCGUCGCAGGCCCCGUCGUCGAUGAGCACGUCGUCGACGAGCACGUCGUCGACGACGACCACGACGAUCACGACGCUCGCCUCGCCCAACACAGCACCGCCAGCCUCCUCCACCGUGUACACGAGCGUCGCAUCGUCGGCGCCUGCUUCCAAGCCACGAUUACCUCCGUCCACGGUGAUCCUGAAUCAAAACGAUGCAUCGGAGGACAGCAAUAAACGGGAGUCGAACAGAAGCAACGAGAACAAGGAAACCGCUGUUCUUCAUCCACGACCAACGCCACAGACCAAGCCCAAAGAACUCGAUGGUUACGUGGGUUUCGCGAAUCUGCCUAACCAAGUCUAUAGAAAGGCCGUUAAGAAGGGAUUCGAUUUCACUCUGAUGGUCGUCGGUGAGUCGGGACUAGGAAAAUCCACUUUGAUCAAUUCCAUGUUCCUCGCUGAUAUAUACAGUGCUGAGUAUCCCGGUCCUAGCCUUAGGGUGAAGAAAACCGUAGCCGUAGAGACUAGCAAAGUAUUGUUAAAGGAGAACGGUGUAAAUCUCACGUUGACCGUCGUUGACACGCCCGGAUUUGGCGAUGCGGUCGACAACAGCAAUUGUUGGGUACCGGUGAUCGAAUAUAUCGAGUCAAAAUACGAGGAGUUCCUGAACGCCGAGUCUCGUGUAGUGAGACGGCAGAUACCAGACAGUCGAGUACAUUGUUGUCUCUACUUCGUCGCACCCUCCGGCCAUGGUUUGAAGCCGUUGGAUGUAGAGUUCAUGCAACGUCUUCACGACAAAGUUAACAUUAUACCUGUCAUCGCGAAGGCGGACACCAUGACGCCAGACGAAUGUGCUCAUUUUAAGAAACAGAUUUUGAACGAGAUAGCGCAACACAAGAUAAAAAUUUACGAGUUCCCGGAAGUGGAGGAAGAAGAAGAAAGUAAACUGCAUAAAGUUCUUAGAGAAAGAGUGCCGUUUGCGGUGGUGGGUGCAAACACCGUGGUCGAACACGAUGGUAGGAAAGUUCGUGGAAGGAAGUAUCCUUGGGGAGUUGCAGAAGUGGAAAAUUUGGAACAUUGCGACUUCAUAGCACUCCGAAACAUGGUGAUUAGGACGCAUUUGCAAGAUUUGAAAGACGUGACAAAUAAUGUACAUUAUGAAAAUUUCCGAUGUCGCACGUUAGCCGGCGUUGGAGUGGAUGGAAAACCGACAAAAGUCUCCAAUAAUUUGUGCCCUCCAGGAGUGAUGAACAGUUUCAUGACAGUGUGGAAUCCGCUGGCUCAGUUGGAAGAAGAGAAAAGGGAACAUGAUAAUAAAAUGAAGAAAAUGGAGAUUGAUAUGGAGCAGGUGUUUGAAAUGAAAGUCAGAGAGAAGAAGCAAAAACUUAAGGACUCGGAAGCGGAUCUACAAAGAAGGCACGAACAAAUGAGACGCUCUUUGGAACAACAAGUGCGUGAAUUAGAGGAAAAGAGACGAGCAUUCGAGACUGAAAAAUUAGCAUGGGAACAACAGACUGGACACAGUAUCGAAGAAUUACGUAGACGCAGCCUGGAAGCUAAUUCGAAAGAGACGGGAUCAGUGUCUUCCGAGGGAUCUGGCGGUGGCGGGGGUACAUUGAAGGGUUCCCGAGGGAUAGGAAGUCUCCUACGCCGUCACACCAGUUUCAAAUCACCUCAAGACAGCCCUACACAGAUACAGCUUGUCAUACAACAUCCCGAGCAUCCUUAGUAGAUCGUAGAAUCUAUAUCUACAUUUACUCACAAAAUGCCUCUACGUCGCUGUGUCCAAGGACUAAAAUCUUUCAAAACAUUAACGUCGAUCUCAUUUUUUAUACGUUUGUUGCGUGUGUUUAUUUUACCGACGAUACAACGUGUACGUACAAAUAUACCGAUAUAUACAAUGCGUAUUCGUAUACGUCCACGAAAUUUAAUUUACACAUCGUACGAGUAUUUGUGUAUCUUUUUGUCUGCCCGUUAUUUUUUCGAUUAGCUUUGUUUUAUAAUUAGCAGGAGGUGUUCGCGUUGAAAAGUAUGCUAAUUAAGACUAUUGUGAAAUAGUAUAAUUCGGUUGCUGCGGUGUACGGUAGCAGGUAUCUUUAUCGCUUACGUUUUCUUUGUUUCUCGAACGUUUCAUAAACGAAAACGACGAAUAUCCUUGAAUAUAAGACUAAGUUUAUAAUACACAUAUAUCAUAAAUAACGAAGAAUCACCGUCAGCUUGGAAUCGAAGUGAAUUAGUGGUAUUUACGAUGAUCACUGUCAUACGAAUGCUUGUCUACUUAUAAUAGAAUCGAGUACCAUUAAGGAAGCUGAAUAACGUCUGAUGUUUAUUUAUAGGCGACGAUGUUGCGAAAGACAUUAAAUCUUAGAGUGAAGAACUAGAGAAAGAAGAUAUCUUCGUAUCGAAAAUAAAUUUUGAUGCCAGAUAGUAGUUUGUUGCAAGUCAUCGAUAUUCUUCAUAAAAGCAGAAGAAAAAUCAGUAAAUAACUACAUCUUAAAAUUCAUUAACAUAUUUUGGCAGUCGACGGUAAGGAUAAGAAGAAUAAGAAGAAAGGACUAUUCUAAGUCGACUUCAGAAAGACAACGUGAAGAGUGAGCUUUUCUUAAAGUAAUCGAUAGUAAUUUUUCUUCAAAAAUAUCAUAUUGAUAAUGCGAUUUCUUUAAGAGAAAUUGGAUAUAAAUUAACAAAAAAAAAAAAGUUUGACUUGAGAAAGAUUUAUCGAUAAAAUCUCCCGGUCUAUUCUGCAUCUGGCUUUUCAAAAUUUUCAUUUUUUCACGAUACGAUAUUUUACGAUUUUUUACAUCUUAGAACAACGUUGCUCGUGCACAUUUCGAAAUCAGCAAAGAUAAGGCGUGGCUCGGGAGAUUCGUUAAUUGAUUAAAAGACAAGAUAGGAAUAUGUGUUACUUAAAUCAUGCAGUUGACGUGUGUACUGUGUAUACCAUUCGUAUAACGUUUAUACGACCGCCUCGGCAUUCUAAUAAUUCUUUUACGGGCAUAAACGUGUUAUGCUUUGAAGAGUGAAAAUGAAAGUGUUUGUUCUGUCGUGUUUGCCUGUGCUUCUUCGCGCUUCCUAUUAUUAACGCCCGACAAAAUCACACCUAGUACAAUUCGAUAAACAAUAAUUGUACAAAAUGUAGACAUAAUUUCAAAGGACGUAAUUUUCUUUAACAAAAGUGUUCAAAGGGAUGCCGAAAGAGAGACAAAAGAUCUUUGAUUUCUUUCGAUCAAUCUUCGUUUCUCACACUGAAUUAUUUAUGUAUAUUGUCCUUAACACUUUGAAUAUCACGAUUAUAUGUCAAUAUUUAUGUCGAUAUUUUAAAUACGAUAGUUAUGUUAAUAUAGGUGUAUAAUAUAAAAAUAUCAAGAAGUGUAAGAUCUUAAUGGCAAUUCAUGGAGAUUUAAGUGUCAAAACAAAAUGAUCGAACGAUAAUCGCUCUUGUAUCAUACAUUCUAUGUAUCAUACGUAGCUGGAAGUGCAGAUUCGGUUGAACGUGAGUUUCUAAGUACUGUUGCACACCUAUUGUUUCUAGGCGGAGCGUAAAAAUAUCUUUCUCCAUGGAAGAAAAAAUCGAAACGUGCGAUACACUAUCGACCUAAUAAACGAAAGAGGUCUCUGUAUCUAAAGCUAGCAAUAAGUUAUAUCGAUGUUUCUAUUACAUAACCUAAAUUGUUACAGGAUAGCGCAUUUAUAUAAUUAUAAAGGGAUGAUGCUCACCCUACGAAACAAAUUGUAUAAAUAAUUGUUUUACAUCAAUCAUAUUCUUCCUUUCAGUAUUCGCUUAAUGCGAGUAACAGCGUGCUGCUUUAUAACGUAACGAAUUAUCGAACACGAUGAAACUUAAACAUAAGGAAAGGACAACGUUAUUCGUCUUUUCACUCAACUCUCAACUCGCAUCAUUCUACGUCGGAUCGUUGAAUGUGAUUCUAAAUGAAGCAGUGGCCAUAUAUAUAUACAUAUAUAAAUAUAUAUUUAUGUAUAAAUGAAAUCGAGGAGAUCGUAAGGAUAAGUCCAAUUCGUGUAAAUUUAAGUUGUAUCGAUAACGAGACAAAUCGGGUAAGAUUAAAUUGUAUAAAAUAAAUCUAAGUGUAUGCUGGAUCGUCGUGAUUCGAGACAGUGCGUUAAUAUUUCAGUUCACUGCAAAAUCAAAGGAAAUAGAAAUUAUUGAGUUACGAGCUAAUUAAGUUUAUUAUCAAAGCGGAUGGUAAUCGAAUUGAUACGGAAUAUGUACGAGAAGAAUAACCGUGCCGUCUCGAACCCGUCCAAGUAUACGUUGGUAUAUGCAACAAGGAUGGGCAAACCGAUUUAGCAAUAAGUUCCUUGACUUCUUUACGUCGCAUAUACGGUCAGUUGUGUUUCUUUUGUUUCUGCUGUUAUCUAUAUCUUUUAUUAUCGGAUACUUUGCAGAGGAACGUUCUCGCCAGAUCAGAAUCUUCGCAAAAGAAAUCCAAAAGUUUGCCCAGUCUUGGAUUUGUAUUCUAAGCUAAUUGAAUUACUGGUGUGCCAAUACGAAGAGAAUAAGCAUUUUAUAAUAACGCUAGUACGUGAUUCUUCAGUUUUUGUAAAAUAAGAUUCGUGCGAUUUUCUCAUAACAGGCGGAGGAAAAAAGAAGUUUAAAAAAAAAAAAAAAGGAUUUCGUCUCAAUUUAUUGGGAAAAACUACGUGUUACAUUCCUAUUUUGUACGGAUUUUUCUAGGUAAAAAGACUCGACUCGUCACCUUGGUCUUUUCUCGAUACCGACAAUCCAUUUAGAAGUUCAAAGCAAAUCGCUUCGAUCGCACGGAGAACGACGCCGAUAGUUUGAAAAGUUUAUUAGCAAAGAUAAUAAACGUAACGCUAAGGUAUAUUAGAACGAUUUGUACUUGGGAACUACGUGGAAACAGAUACUUUUCAAAAUAUCGAUGUGUCUGAAAGAAAAAAGAAAGA